rnacentral:lncRNA from 1 species
GUCUCUCUAGUCUCUUAAGUCUCUUAAUCUCUGUCCUUAAAGUCUCUCAUACACUCAUAAACACUCUCACCAAUCUCUCUCUCUAUAUCACCUAGAACAAGCUCUAAUCAUUCUUCAUUGAAGCUUAUACACACACACAUACUACCAGAGUAGAGAUCUCUUUAAAAAUCAUAUGGUAUCAGAGCCAGGUUCAUCAGAACCUGAGCUGUAGCUUC